AACGAACGCUGGCGGCGUGCCUAACACAUGCAAGUCGAGCGCGAAUAGGAGCAAUCCUUAGUAGAGCGGCGCACGGGUGCGUAACACGUGGGUAAUCUGCCUAGAAGCCCGGGAUAACCUGCCGAAAGGCUGGCUAAUACCGGAUAAGCCUACGGGGUCUUUGGACCCUGAAGGAAAAGGUGGCCUCUGUAUACAAGCUAUCACUUCUAGAUGAGCCCGCGGCCCAUCAGCUAGUUGGCGGGGUAAUGGCCCAACAAGGCGACGACGGGUAGCUGGUCUGAGAGGACGAUCAGCCACACUGGAACUGAGACACGGACCAGACUCCUACGGGAGGCAGCAGUGGGGAAUUUUGCGCAAUGGGCGAGAGCUUGAUGCAGCAACGCCGCGUGUGUGAUGAAGAUCUUCGGAUCGUAAAGCACUUUCGACCGGGACGAACACCUCUUGGCUAACAUCCAAGGGCCUGACGGUACCGGGAGAAGAAGCACCGGCUAACUCUGUGCCAGCCGCCGCGGUAA
rnacentral:rRNA from 1 species